UGCGUAGGCGGUCUUUUAAGUUUGGUGUGAAAUCUCCCGGCUCAACCGGGAGGGUGCGCCGAAUACUGAGAGGCUAGAGUGUGGGAGAGGAAAGUGGAAUUCCUGGUGUAGCGGUGAAAUGCGUAGAUAUCAGGAGGAACACCGGUGGUGUAAACGGCUUUCUGGACCAUAGCUGACGCUGAAGCACGAAAGCGUGGGUAGCAAACAGGAUUAGAUACCCUGGUAGUCCACGCCCUAAACGAUGCAUAUUUGGUGUGGGCCAUUCAUUUGGUCUGUGCCGGAGCUAACGCGUUAAAUAUGCCGCCUGGGGAGUACAGUCGCAAGGCUGAA
rnacentral:rRNA from 1 species